rnacentral:rRNA from 1 species
AUGAUAUGUCUUAUCCUUAAACUUCUUAUCACAUUUUGUUUUACUUGGCCGUUGCAUCUAGGAAAUUUUUGUGUAAACAGAUCUACCAUUGGUAUAUAUGUUGAAGUAGUAACUUUAAACCUCCCCGCAAUACCAAACAAUAGUUACUUUAAACCAUAUGCAAGCCCAUUUUACAUGAAAUUUUCUGGUUUUAUCACAUUGCAUUGUCCACCGAUGAAUAGAACCUAUACAGACUGCUGUAUGAAUAUCAUCACCUUUUUAAAAGUUGAUUUGCCUUCAGUGGUAUGUACUACUAUUUUCUUCGACAUAUAA